UAAAACCUGAAUAUAUAAAAAAAAUCACCCGGUUCAAAAGUUUACAUAUUGCCUAUUCUUAUAAUACUGUUUGAUGUACCUGGACAAUCAAUUAUAGUUUGUGUUGUCUGACUGUUGUCUAAGAGUUUUUGUUUAUGAGCCAUUUAACUUGUACACUGAUCUUCAGAGAAAUCCUCCAGGUCCUGCACAUGUUCUUUGAUGUUCAGUAUCUUCUGCAUGUCCGACCUCUGCCCUGCAGUAACUCUGAUGUUGAGUUGAUCUUUACACACUGACAUAUAAUAGUUGUGUAUGAGUGCUUGUUGUCAGUCUGUAAAAAUGAAUCUAACAUUGUAUAGUCACAGCUGGACAAACAUGCAGAAAGUGCUGAAAAUCAAAGACCAGGGAACAGUUUAAUGGAACAGGACAACUUUAAACCCUUAAACAACUAUCACAAAACCACACACACACUGUCAUCAUUUUUCCAGGUCUCACUGUACUUUAAGAAUCAGAUGUAUGACUUUUGACCACCAUACUAUAUCUCUUCAUAGGCCUGUCUGUAUGUUAUGUGCAGGGCAAAUUUCAAAGUAAACGUAAGGCAAGCUUGAUAAUAUUAAAAUCACCCUGUGUGAUAAGAGGAAGCCAAUCCAAUGCAGUCCGUAAAGGUUCAUUGACAGUAGAAGUUUAAACGGGGAUUCUGGGACGAAAGAUGAGAUGACAACCCAUGACAUGACUGACAUCACAACCAACGUAUCACUCAGAACUUCUACGUUUGCUUACGAACAUGCCAACGUACAAUUACGAUCUCAUUCGCGAACAAAUGUUACGUGUGACGUUUGCAUAGGUAUUUGAUUACCUAACAGCGCCUCAUCUCUCACGCAAAAAAUGGUCGUAUGAUGUUUAUAUACGUAUAUAGCAACGUGCCAUCGCAUCACAAAUGCAAAUAUAAUGUUAAAUAGAGCAACGCUAUUGGCUGGUGUACGGUCUGACGCGAACACCCGAGCUCAACAUUCGUAUUUACUCGUACAAAUUGAUCGUGUUGACGCGUCCAAAUUUCACGCGUUUCGCGUUAUACAUAUUGUCCCCGUUCGCGUUCCAUAAAAGGCCACUCAACGGUUUCAACGCGCAGGAGACGUGCAGCAGCUAAGCGCGCCAAAAUCGACGGUUCUGAGCUCGCGCAUGGUCUGUAGCAGGCUGCCAUUUACUGAGGUUGGUUUCUUCAGGUUGGACCAACGCUCUGCACUCACCAAGAAGGAUCCAAACAUGGCGAUUGACGACAGAAAGUGCCAGAUGUCAUGAUCAUCAAAGAACGACAGCAGGAUACAUUCGCGAUUGUGUUCACGAGACUCGGCUGGAGUUUUCUGGCGACACAGUUUGAUUGGGAUCAGUACACCUCCACACAGGAGAGAUGUCGACCGGGUGCAGAAGCCCCUCCCUCUUCCUGUUCAUCCUGAGAAUGAGAGAGACAUGAUUGGCUGUCACUUCGCAGGCAAUGGUUAUGUUUACAUGCACAACUGGCCAUCAGAAGUAUCUGCUUCUUACCUUCAUACAGAAACAACCUGAACGGCAAAUCAAUGGCAUCAUAUUUCAAUAUUCAUCACUUCGCCGAAUUAAGUACGUCCACAUGCCAGUGUUUUGCAUUUGACGCGAACAUAUUAAAACGAUGGAUAGUAACACACACUGACUGUCUGAGAUCAUCAUUUGUGCUCAUUAAACAUUCAUGUAAACAGGAGUCAAGAGGUUUGUUCAGGUCAUUUAACAUGUUCCUAAGAUUAAGUCUUUACUCUAAUUAUUGGAAAUAAUGGCACCGACAUUUAUCAAUCAUGAGGGGGAGGGGCUCUCUAUGGUGAUGGACAGUC